rnacentral:rRNA from 2 species
CAUCCUCUGACAACCCUAGAGAUAGGACUUUUCCCUCGGGAGCAGAGUGACAGGUGGUGCAUGGUUGUCGUCAGCUCGUGUCGGGAGAUGUUGGGUUAAGUCCCGCAACGAGCGCAACCCUUGAUCUUAGUUGCCAUCAUUUAGUUGGGCACUCUAAGGUGGCUGCCGGUGACAAACCGGAGGAAGGUGGGGAUGACGUCAAAUCAUCAAGCCCCUUAUCACCUGGGCUACACACGUGCUACAAUGGACGGUACAAAGAGCUGCAAGACCGCGAGGUGGAGCUAAUCUCAUAAAACCGUUCUCAGUUCGGAUUGUAGGCUGCAACUCGCCUACAUGAAGCUGGAAUCGCUAGUAAUCGCGGAUCAGCAUGCCGCGGUGAAUACGUUCCC